rnacentral:rRNA from 1 species
UUGCAUAUCAAUAAGCGGAGGAAAAGAAACUAACAAGGAUUCCCUCAGUAACGGCGAGUGAAGCGGGAAGAGCUCAGACUGAAAAUCUUCGGAAUUGUAGUCUGUCGAAGUGAAGUCCGUUUUAUAAGAAUAAAGUAAAAUCUUUAAGAAAACUGUACCAUGGAGGGUGAUAGUCCUGUUUAUACUUUAUUUCUAUAAGACAUU